rnacentral:rRNA from 1 species
AUUGAACGCUGGCGGCAGGCCUAACACAUGCAAGUCGAGCGGUAGAGAGAAGCUUGCUUCUCUUGAGAGCGGCGGACGGGUGAGUAAUACCUAGGAAUCUGCCUGAUAGUGGGGGAUAACGUUCGGAAACGGACGCUAAUACCGCAUACGUCCUACGGGAGAAAGCAGGGGACCUUCGGGCCUUGCGCUAUCAGAUGAGCCUAGGUCGGAUUAGCUAGUUGGUGAGGUAAUGGCUCACCAAGGCUACGAUCCGUAACUGGUCUGAGAGGAUGAUCAGUCACACUGGAACUGAGACACGGUCCAGACUCCUACGGGAGGCAGCAGUGGGGAAUAUUGGACAAUGGGCGAAAGCCUGAUCCAGCCAUGCCGCGUGUGUGAAGAAGGUCUUCGGAUUGUAAAGCACUUUAAGUUGGGAGGAAGGGCAUUAACCUAAUACGUUGGUGUCUUGACGUUACCGACAGAAUAAGCACCGGCUAACUCUGUGCCAGCAGCCGCGGUAA